rnacentral:rRNA from 1 species
UGGCGGCAUGCCUUACACAUGCAAGUCGAACGGUAGAGUAGCAAUACUCGAGNAGUGGCGAACGGGUGAGUAAUAUAUCGGAACGUGCCCAGUCGUGGGGGAUAACGUAGAGAAAUUUACGCUAAUACCGCAUACGAUCUAAGGAUGAAAGCGGGGGAUCGCAAGACCUCGCGCGAUUGGAGCGGCUGAUAUCAGAUUAGGUUGUUGGUGAGGUAAAAGCUCACCAAGCCGACGAUCUGUAGCUGGUUUGAGAGAACGACCAGCCACACUGGGACUGAGACACGGCCCAGACUCCUACGGGAGGCAGCAGUGGGGAAUUUUGGACAAUGGGCGAAAGCCUGAUCCAGCAAUGCCGCGUGCAGGAAGAAGGCCUUCGGGUUGUAAACUGCUUUUGUACGGAACGAAACGGCUCUUUCUAAUAAAGAGGGCUAAUGACGGUACCGUAAGAAUAAGCACCGGCUAACUACGUGCCAGCAGCCCGCGGUAAUACGUAGGGUGCGAGCGUUAAUCGGAAUUACUGGGCGUAAAGCGUGCGCAGGCGGUUCUAUAAGACAGAUGUGAAAUCCCCGGGCUCAACCUGGGAAUGGCAUUUGUGACUGUA